UCCACAAAGCCCAGAUGGCUCCAAAUCCAGUUUGCAAAUAAAAAUGGUUACCCUUGCUGGAGUGAAAUCUCUUUACCACAGUAAAGGUGUGCUUGCAGCUGUCAAGGACUUCCUGCUUCCUACUUGAGUAGGGAACAGACAAAUCCUUGCACAUGAGUUCAAGCACCUCUUGUUCAAGAAUUUCUGCUUCCUGUGGACGACUGAUGUUCUGCUAACUGUGCCCUUUUACAGAGAACUCACCUCCUCAGGCCUAAAGAAUUUUUUAUAUUCUAAAUGUAUUUAUUUUCUCUAGGAUGGGACAGCCCUGGCUCCCCUGACUCCUUCCUCUUGCACGCCGUUCCUUAUUUCUCCGCGAUGCUUUGCCUGCUAGCAGCACUGUGCUGGCAGUUGUCCUUUCAGGGUUACCCAGCUCUACUUCUCCUAGUUUGGUUGAUAGCUGCCAGUUAGAGAAACUUAAAACCUCAUUAAACAUCAUUAUUAUCUUUUCUCAUUUUUGUCUGUCCCACAGACCACUCCUGCUGGGUUCUCUCUAGGUUACUGUAAUGCAAAUAGUAAGUUCUUACUUGAAAUGAAAAGCAUUUACUAUAAACUGUUUUCUCCUUCAAUAGCAAAGCAAAAGCAGCAUCUUGGGCUGCACUGUGUCUUUUGUUUCAAGUGAGGUUUGUUCUAUACUUUUUCCCCAGGAAAACAGCUUUGAUUAAUAUUUCAAGCAUUUUAUAACACUAAAAGCCCAACAACAGGAUAGAAAAGCUGAUUAUGCAGAAAUGAAAGCCAAGCUACAUCUAAAGGUCAGAAGGCAAAAGUGCCUAUGUCAAGCACUACAUACCUUUUGGUUCUUGAACCUGGCAGCUGGAGGAAAAUCAACAUUGCACAAAAACCAAUAAUCCCUGCAAUGAAUCCUCUGUUUACUGGAAAACUCUUAUGUAAGUAUUAACAGGUCAGGUAAGAAAUCCUACAUACUGUACACUUCUGCUUAGCACCAUUCUAACAGGCAUAAGGCAACAUCAGGGGACAACAAUGGGAUUUUUUCAAUGUACAGGCACUUUUGUUUGGUCAGGGUAAAUGGUUCCUACCAGACAAAUGCCACAAUUAUGAUUAUUUCUACAAACAACACUCAGUAAAGAGAUCAGGAGUUCAACUGGACACUUGAUAUCGUGCUUUUUUUUCUUAUGCUUUUAGGAAGACAUAAUUCUGACUGCUACAUGUGCAUCUUUGACUGACCAUCUGUGCAGCAUAGAUGUUCUCUGCCCAGAAAGCCUUAAACAAAAGAUGGAUAUGAAUGACAGAUCAAGAGACUUUCAGUUUGUAGAGGCAGCUCUGAAUGGAGUAAUAACUGUGAUUCACAAAAUGUGUCACCCAGGAGCAGAAAAGAUGUACAACUAAGCCUGCUAUACCAUAUUUCCAUUACCAGUUCCUGAUGGAGAGGCCUGGGACUAUCUGGUUGUGGACUUUAAGUGAUGGUUCAACAUUGUAGCAGUGCAAAAACCUAAGAUUUAAGGUGUUUCUGCUGAUAAAUAUCACAGACUACACCACCUGCUGUUCAGUGAAGUGACAUCAAUAUACAAGUUGCUAAAUACUCCCUUAAAUUUUCUUGAUUUCUUUAGAUUUUUUUAAUUAAGACGUUGAUUUGGACUCCUCAGAAAGUUUAAUGCCCAAGAGGAUUUGUCAUCUGAGCUGGAAAAUACGUGCACAGGAACCCACUGCUCUUCUGAACCCAUCAACCACCUCCUUACUGCUGAUUUUGCAAGGUUUAACCUGUACUUGCUGCACGUCCACGUGGAAGCAGAAUUUGAACUCCUCUGGGUUUGUACAUCUCACUCACAGAUUUAUCAGGAAAAUAAUUUAAUAGUCUCAUUCUUCAGUGAUCCUAUUAACUUCCAAGUUGUGGUGUCUGUUCAGCUGUGCACAAAGAGCUGUUCUCAGAACUGUUUUCCUGAUUAAAGAUUAACAGUGCGAUAAAAGAAGGAAACAUGGGCAUCCUUGGAGUUUGUUUCUUACAUCAGCUGGG